CUUUGUUUAGCUGGGGAGCGGAUUGGAUGGGAUUGACCGAGAUGGCUAGAAACGGCGAAGUGAAGGGGGCUCCUCACCGGUGAUUAGCGGCAAGGCCGGCCGGGCGGAGAUGGCGGGCGACGAGCCUCCUGCGGCGAGAAGGCGUGCUUCACUGGGACGGUUAUAGGGGGGGAUGUUGGUCUGGAGAGGAGCUCGACGAACCUUUCCCAUCGUGCUCGCCAUCAAAAAGCUCACGUCUGUAGCGAAGCUUAUAGUCGCCGGCGCGGGCGCAAGUAUGCAGGGGUAGGGAUUGGGGUAAGGGGCGUACCUUAGUUGACCCCGCAGGCGGCGGCUCCAAGUUUUCGUGAUCUGGAUCGCAAGGAGCAUCACACCCAGCUUAGUUGAGGAUUUCUAUAGUUCUUAGUCUCCUUGUGUUUCAGUUUUUCUCUCAUUGAUGGUUUAGUUUUUAGUCUCAGUUUCAUACUUCUUAGUACCAUUUUUUGAACGACAAAGCUAAAUUUCUGCCGACUGGUCGUUAGCGACAGGCACGUACGAUUCGCUCGCCUCGUCCGAUUCCCAUCACGCGGUCAAGAUUCAUCAAGGCGCUCCACUCUGUGAGAAAAAGAAAGGGAAGAAAGGGCGGCCAGGACAGGAUUCGAACCCUCGACCUCCUACAGAUCACUCCAUGUAAUGCAAGAAUUGGAGGCAAUUUGUGCUUUCAGGCAACAGAGCGGCCCACAUACGUUGUUGAGCUGAAGAAAGGGCUCACAUCCAUGGCGAUAACCGGGAGAGCUUCACUGGGGUACGAGCUUUAAGAGGGAUAUUUGGUUCAUUUCAACAUGGAUGGCUUGGUGCCAGCGAGGUUGACGAAGCCAUGGACUCUGCCGUGUUCACUAAGUCCAUUGACAUGAACGAACAUGAGCUUUUCAAGCUUUUUGUCCUUUUGACGUUCAGUCUUGUUACGUGAGGGUGCCUUUUGUUCACCGCAUGACCAAGACUAACAUCGAUCAAUAGACGAUGUACAUCAUCCCUUUGUCAGAUUAUUUUGUUCAUUUUUCCUUCAUUAUUUGUAGUAAAUUUAUUUUGUAUUUAGCUUUUAUAUGUCUCCAUACGUAAAGUUAAAUAACUCCGUUUA